rnacentral:rRNA from 1 species
GUCGAGCGAUGAAGCUCCUUCGGGAGUGGAUUAGCGGCGGACGGGUGAGUAACACGUGGGCAACCUGCCUCAAAGUGGGGAAUAGCCCUCCGAAAGGAGGAUUAAUACCGCAUAACAUGAAGGAAUCGCAUGGUACCUUCAUUAAAGAUUUAUCGCUUUGAGAUGGGCCCGCGGCGCAUUAGCUAGUUGGUGAGGUAACGGCUCACCAAGGCGACGAUGCGUAGCCGACCUGAGAGGGUGAUCGGCCACAUUGGAACUGAGACACGGUCCAGACUCCUACGGGAGGCAGCAGUGGGGAAUCUUAGACAAUGGGCGCAAGCCUGAUCUAGCCAUGCCGCGUGAGUGAUGAAGGCCCUAGGGUUGUAAAGCUCUUUCAGCUGGGAAGAUAAUGACGGUACCAGCAGAAGAAGCCCCGGCUAACUCCGUGCCAGCAGCCGCGGUAAUACGGAGGGGGCUAGCGUUGUUCGGAAUUACUGGGCGUAAAGCGCGCGUAGGCGGAUUGAAAAGUUGGGGGUGAAAUCCCGGGGCUCAACCUCGGAACUGCCUUCAAAACUAUCAGUCUGGAGUUCGAGAGAGGUGAGU